AUUGAACGCUGGCGGCAGGCCUAACACAUGCAAGUCGAACGAGUGGCGGACGGGUGAGUAAUGUAUGGGAAACUGCCUGAUGGAGGGGGAUAACUACUGGCAACGGUAGCUCAUACCGCAUACCAUCGGAUGUGCCCAGAUGGGAUUUGCUAGUAGGUGGGGUAAAGGCUCUCCUAGGCGACGAUCCCUAGCUGGUCUGAGAGGAUGAACAGCCACACGGUAACUGAGACACGGUCCAGACCCCUACGUGAGGCAGCAGUGGGUAAUAGUGCACAAUGGGCGCAAGCCUGAUGCAGCCAUGCCGCGUGUGUGAAGAAGGCUUUCGGGUUGUAAAGCACUUUCAGCGAGGAGGCGUUACUCGCAGAAGAAGCACCGGCUAACUCCGUGCCAGCAGCCGCGGUAAUAC
rnacentral:rRNA from 1 species